UUUUAGAGAUAAGAGGGUGCUAGCUUGCUAGAACUUAGAGACAGGUGCUGCACGGCUGUCGUCAGCUCGUGUCGUGAGAUGUUGGGUUAAGUCCCGCAACGAGCGCAACCCACGUAUUUAGUUGCUAACGGUUCGGCCGAGCACUCUAAAUAGACUGCCUUCGUAAGGAGGAGGAAGGUGUGGACGACGUCAAGUCAUCAUGGCCCUUAUGCCCAGGGCGACACACGUGCUACAAUGGCAUAUACAAUGAGACGCAAUACCGCGAGGUGGAGCAAAUCUAUAAAAUAUGUCCCAGUUCGGAUUGUUCUCUGCAACUCGAGAGCAUGAAGCCGGAAUCGCUAGUAAUCGUAGAUCAGCCAUGCUACGGUGAAUACGUUCCCGGGUCUUGUACUCACCGCCCGUCACACCAUGGGAGUUGAUUUCACUCGAAGCCGGAAUACUAAACUAGUUACCGUCCACAGUGGAAUCAGCGACUGGGGUGAAGUCGUAACAAGGUAACCGUAGGAGAACCUGCGGUUGGAUCACCUCCUUUCUAG
rnacentral:rRNA from 2 species